rnacentral:tRNA from 1 species
GCCAUUAGCUCAGUUGGUAGAGCAUCUGACUUUUAAUCAGAGGGUCGAAGGUUCGAGUCCUUCAUCA